rnacentral:rRNA from 1 species
UUGACGGGGCCCGCACAAGCGGAGGAGCAUGUGGUUUAAUUCGAUGAUACGCGAGGAACCUUACCUGGGCUCGAACGUAAGAUGACUGUAGGUGAAAGCUUACAUCUCUUCGGAGCAUUUUACGAGGUGCUGCAUGGUUGUCGUCAGCUCGUGCCGUGAGGUGUCGGGUUAAGUCCCAUAACGAGCGCAACCCCUACCUUUAGUUGCCAUCAGGUAAUGCUGGGGACUCUAAAGGAACUGCCUACGCAAGUAGUGAGGAAGGCGGGGAUGACGUCAAAUCAGCACGGCCCUUACGUCCAGGGCUACACACGUGCUACAAUGGCCGAUACAGAGGGCAGCUACCUGGUGACAGGAUGCAAAUCUCCAAAGUCGGUCUCAGUUCGGAUCGGAGUCUGCAACCCGACUCCGUGAAGUUGGAUUCGCUAGUAAUCGCGCAUCAGCCAUGGCGCGGUGAAUACGUUCCCGGGCCUU